rnacentral:rRNA from 1 species
UACAGGGGGGGCAAGCGUUGUUCGGAAUUACUGGGCGUAAAGGGUGCGUAGGUGGCGUCGUAAGUCGGGUGUGAAAUUUCGGAGCUUAACUCCGAAACUGCAUUCGAUACUGCGGUGCUUGAGGACUGGAGAGGAGACUGGAAUUUACGGUGUAGCAGUGAAAUGCGUAGAGAUCGUAAGGAAGACCAGUGGCGAAGGCGGGUCUCUGGACAGUUCCUGACACUGAGGCACGAAGGCCAGGGGAGCAAACGGG